rnacentral:rRNA from 1 species
GGUUAAGCGACUAAGCGUACACGGUGGAUGCCCUGGCAGUCAGAGGCGAUGAAGGACGUGCUAAUCUGCGAUAAGCGUCGGUAAGGUGAUAUGAACCGUUAUAACCGGCGAUUUCCGAAUGGGGAAACCCAGUGUGUUUCGACACACUAUCAUUAACUGAAUCCAUAGGUUAAUGAGGCGAACCGGGGGAACUGAAACAUCUAAGUACCCCGAGGAAAAGAAAUCAACCGAGAUUCCCCCAGUAGCGGCGAGCGAACGGGGAGCAGCCCAGAGCCUGAAUCAGUGUGUGUGUUAGUGGAAGCGUCUGGAAAGGCGCGCGAUACAGGGUGACAGCCCCGUACACAAAAAUGCACAUGCUGUGAGCUCGAUGAGUAGGGCGGGACACGUGGUAUCCUGUCUGAAUAUGGGGGGACCAUCCUCCAAGGCUAAAUACUCCUGACUGACCGAUAGUGAACCAGUACCGUGAGGGAAAGGCGAAAAGAACCCCGGCGAGGGGAGUGAAAAAGAACCUGAAACCGUGUACGUACAAGCAGUGGGAGCACGCUUAGGCGUGUGACUGCGUACCUUUUGUAUAAUGGGUCAGCGACUUAUAUUCUGUAGCAAGGUUAACCGAAUAGGGGAGCCGAAGGGAAACCGAGUCUUAACUGGGCGUUAAGUUGCAGGGUAUAGACCCGAAACCCGGUGAUCUAGCCAUGGGCAGGUUGAAGGUUGGGUAACACUAACUGGAGGACCGAACCGACUAAUGUUGAAAAAUUAGCGGAUGACUUGUGGCUGGGGGUGAAAGGCCAAUCAAACCGGGAGAUAGCUGGUUCUCCCCGAAAGCUAUUUAGGUAGCGCCUCGUGAAUUCAUCUCCGGGGGUAGAGCACUGUUUCGGCAAGGGGGUCAUCCCGACUUACCAACCCGAUGCAAACUGCGAAUACCGGAGAAUGUUAUCACGGGAGACACACGGCGGGUGCUAACGUCCGUCGUGAAGAGGGAAACAACCCAGACCGCCAGCUAAGGUCCCAAAGUCAUGGUUAAGUGGGAAACGAUGUGGGAAGGCCCAGACAGCCAGGAUGUUGGCUUAGAAGCAGCCAUCAUUUAAAGAAAGCGUAAUAGCUCACUGGUCGAGUCGGCCUGCGCGGAAGAUGUAACGGGGCUAAACCAUGCACCGAAGCUGCGGCAGCGACGCUGAUGCGUUGUUGGGUAGGGGAGCGUUCUGUAAGCCUGCGAAGGUGUGCUGUGAGGCAUGCUGGAGGUAUCAGAAGUGCGAAUGCUGACAUAAGUAACGAUAAAGCGGGUGAAAAGCCCGCUCGCCGGAAGACCAAGGGUUCCUGUCCAACGUUAAUCGGGGCAGGGUGAGUCGACCCCUAAGGCGAGGCCGAAAGGCGUAGUCGAUGGGAAACAGGUUAAUAUUCCUGUACUUGGUGUUACUGCGAAGGGGGGACGGAGAAGGCUAUGUUGGCCGGGCGACGGUUGUCCCGGUUUAAGCGUGUAGGCUGGUUUUCCAGGCAAAUCCGGAAAAUCAAGGCUGAGGCGUGAUGACGAGGCACUACGGUGCUGAAGCAACAAAUGCCCUGCUUCCAGGAAAAGCCUCUAAGCAUCAGGUAACAUCAAAUCGUACCCCAAACCGACACAGGUGGUCAGGUAGAGAAUACCAAGGCGCUUGAGAGAACUCGGGUGAAGGAACUAGGCAAAAUGGUGCCGUAACUUCGGGAGAAGGCACGCUGAUAUGUAGGUGAAGUCCCUCGCGGAUGGAGCUGAAAUCAGUCGAAGAUACCAGCUGGCUGCAACUGUUUAUUAAAAACACAGCACUGUGCAAACACGAAAGUGGACGUAUACGGUGUGACGCCUGCCCGGUGCCGGAAGGUUAAUUGAUGGGGUUAGCCGCAAGGCGAAGCUCUUGAUCGAAGCCCCGGUAAACGGCGGCCGUAACUAUAACGGUCCUAAGGUAGCGAAAUUCCUUGUCGGGUAAGUUCCGACCUGCACGAAUGGCGUAAUGAUGGCCAGGCUGUCUCCACCCGAGACUCAGUGAAAUUGAACUCGCUGUGAAGAUGCAGUGUACCCGCGGCAAGACGGAAAGACCCCGUGAACCUUUACUAUAGCUUGACACUGAACAUUGAGCCUUGAUGUGUAGGAUAGGUGGGAGGCUUUGAAGUGUGGACGCCAGUCUGCAUGGAGCCGACCUUGAAAUACCACCCUUUAAUGUUUGAUGUUCUAACGUUGACCCGUAAUCCGGGUUGCGGACAGUGUCUGGUGGGUAGUUUGACUGGGGCGGUCUCCUCCUAAAGAGUAACGGAGGAGCACGAAGGUUGGCUAAUCCUGGUCGGACAUCAGGAGGUUAGUGCAAUGGCAUAAGCCAGCUUGACUGCGAGCGUGACGGCGCGAGCAGGUGCGAAAGCAGGUCAUAGUGAUCCGGUGGUUCUGAAUGGAAGGGCCAUCGCUCAACGGAUAAAAGGUACUCCGGGGAUAACAGGCUGAUACCGCCCAAGAGUUCAUAUCGACGGCGGUGUUUGGCACCUCGAUGUCGGCUCAUCACAUCCUGGGGCUGAAGUAGGUCCCAAGGGUAUGGCUGUUCGCCAUUUAAAGUGGUACGCGAGCUGGGUUUAGAACGUCGUGAGACAGUUCGGUCCCUAUCUGCCGUGGGCGCUGGAGAACUGAGGGGGGCUGCUCCUAGUACGAGAGGACCGGAGUGGACGCAUCACUGGUGUUCGGGUUGUCAUGCCAAUGGCACUGCCCGGUAGCUAAAUGCGGAAGAGAUAAGUGCUGAAAGCAUCUAAGCACGAAACUUGCCCCGAGAUGAGUUCUCCCUGACUCCUUGAGAGUCCUGAAGGAACGUUGAAGACGACGACGUUGAUAGGCCGGGUGUGUAAGCGCAGCGAUGCGUUGAGCUAACCGGUACUAAUGAACCGUGAGGCUUAACCUUAC